rnacentral:pre_miRNA from 1 species
GGAGCCUCCUACCAGGCUGGUUUCACGUGGUGGCUUGAUGUGAAAGUGCGAUUCUAGCACCAUUUGAAAUCAGUGUUGGUGGGCAGAGCACG